UACGUAGGCAGCGAGCGUUGUUCGGAGUUACUGGGCGUAAAGGGUGUGUAGGCGGUUGUUUAAGUUUGGUGUGAAAUCUCCCGGCUCAACUGGGAGGGUGCGCCGAAUACUGAAUGACUUGGAGUGCGGGAGAGGAGAGUGGAAUUCCUGGUGUAGCGGUGAAAUGCGUAGAUAUCAGGAGGAACACCUGUGGUGUAGACAGCUUACUGGACCAUUUCUGACGCUGAGACACGAAGGCUAGGGUAGCAAACAGG
rnacentral:rRNA from 1 species